rnacentral:misc_RNA from 1 species
UACGGAGGAUCCAAGCGUUAUCCGGAAUCAUUGGUUUUAAAGUGUCCGUAGGCGGGACAAUAAGUCAGUGGUGAAAGUCUGCAUCUCAACUGUAGAAUUGCCAUUGAUCCUGUUGUUCUUGAGUGUUUAUGAAGUGGUUAGAAUAUGUAGUGUAGCGGUGAAAUGCAUAGAUAUUACAUAGAAUACCGAUUGCGAAGGCAGAUCACUAAUAAUUUACUGACGCUGAGGGACGAAAGCGUAGGUAGCGAACAGG